GCCCAGCUAGCUCAGUCAGUAGAGCACGAGACUCUUAAUCUCAGGGUCGUGGGUUCUAGCCCCACGUUGGGCU
rnacentral:tRNA from 1 species